AUUGAACGCUGGCGGCAGGCUUAACACAUGCAAGUCGAGCGGAGACUUCGGUCUUAGCGGCGAACGGGUGAGUAACACCUAGGAAUCUGCCUAUUAGUGGGGGAUAACGUGUGGAAACGCACGCUAAUACCGCAUACGUCCUACGGGAGAAAGCAGGGGAUCUUCGGACCUUGCGCUAAUAGAUGAGCCUAGGCCGGAUUAGCUAGUUGGUGGGGUAAAGGCCUACCAAGGCGACGAUCUGUAGCUGGUCUGAGAGGAUGGCCAGCCACACUGGAACUGAGACACGGUCCAGACUCCUACGGGAGGCAGCAGUGGGGAAUAUUGGACAAUGGGGGCAACCCUGAUCCAGCCAUGCCGCGUGUGUGAAGAAGGCCUUCGGUUGUAAGCACUUAAGUCGAGGAGGAAGUUUUAGGUUAAUACCUAACGAAUUAGACGUUACUCGCAGAAUAAGCACCGGCGUAACUACUGUG
rnacentral:rRNA from 1 species